rnacentral:rRNA from 1 species
UACGUAGGGUGCGAGCGUUAUCCGGAAUUAUUGGGCGUAAAGAGCUCGUAGGCGGCUUGUCGCGUCGGAUGUGAAAGCCCGGGGCUUAACUCCGGGUCUGCAUUCGAUACGGGCAGGCUAGAGUUCGGUAGGGGAGAUCGGAAUUCCUGGUGUAGCGGUGUAAUGCGCAGAUAUCAGGAGGAACACCGGUGGCGAAGGCGGAUCUCUGGGCCGAUACUGACGCUGAGGCGCGAAAGCGUGGGGAGCAAACCGG